rnacentral:rRNA from 1 species
UACAGAGGUCUCAAGCGUUGUUCGGAUUCAUUGGGCGUAAAGGGUGCGUAGGUGGCGUGGUAAGUCGGGUGUGAAAUUUCGGAGCUUAACUCCGAAACUGCAUUCGAUACUGCUGUGCUUGAGGACUGGAGAGGAGACUGGAAUUCAUGGUGUAGCAGUGAAAUGCGUAGAGAUCAUGAGGAAGACCAGUGGCGAAGGCGGGUCUCUGGACAGUUCCUGACACUGAGACACGAAGGCCAGGGGAGCAAACGGG